rnacentral:rRNA from 1 species
UACGACGGGGGCUAGCGUUGCUCGGAAUCACUGGGCGUAAAGCGCACGUAGGCGGAUCGUUAAGUCGGAGGUGAAAUCCUGGAGCUCAACUCCAGAACUGCCUUCGAUACUGGCGAUCUUGGAGUCCGGGAGAGGUGAGUGGAACUCCGAGUGUAGAGGUGAAAUUCGUAGAUAUUCGGAAGAACACCAGUGGCGAAGGCGGCUCACUGGCCCGGUACUGACGCUGAGGUGCGAAAGCGUGGGGAGCAAACAGG